AAAAAGAAGAACAGGAUGACCAAAUUCUACAUCAAUAUCAGAUAAUGAAAGACAAGGACACUGCAUUCAAAGACCAGCUUAUAUAAAUGCAUUGGGGAGGGGUCUGGAGGAUGAAUGGAGGGUUUACUCUACUCUGUUGCAUGAGUACAGGUAAGAA